UAUGCAAUAUACAUAUAAAGUUGAAAAUAUGAGUGUGCACAGGCACACAUGAAAGUCUAAAAAGAAUCUUUUGGUAACAAUGCCUUGGCUGGAAGACUUAAUUUUGGUUAAAUAAAAUACAGCAAUCUAACCUCGCCCAAUAAUUGCCACAUGAAAAUUAUUUCUGCCAAGUCUAUACUGAUAUCUAUCUUCCUAAAAUAUAGUUGAAUAGACAUAACUUUCUCUGGCUUUUAUUUUAACUAUUGUCAUAUUUCUUAAACCAUUCAGGCUCCUGUACCAAAAUACCACAAACUAUGUGAUGAUAAACAACAGUAAUUUGUUUCUUACAAUUCUGAAGGCUGGAAUGUCCAAGAUCAUGAUGCCAGCAGAUUCAGUGUCUGGAGGACCCUCAUGAUUAUAUUUGGGACCCACCUGAAUAAUCCAGGAAUAUCUCCUCGACAUCAACAUUCUUAAUUUAAUCCCACUGACAAGAUCUCUUUUGCCAUAUAAGCACUUCUCCUUGAUGCCACCACGCAAAGAAGAACUUGCUUGUUUCCCCUUCUACCAUGAUUGUAAGUUCCCUGAGGCCUCUCCAGCCAUGCUGAACUGUGAGUCAAUUAAACCUCUUACCUUUAGAUAUUACCCAGUCUCAGUUUGUCUUUAUUUGCAGCAUGAGAAUGGACUAAACCUUGCUAAGAAGCAGAAACCCCAUAUGCUCAGUGUCAUGAAAAAGCUCAUGUUACCAGUCAUCAGAAAGUUUGUUCUGCCUUUCAUCCAAGCUCCUAAACACUGUUUCUGCCUAAUGAACAGAUCUCCUUUCUCUUCACUAACUAAUGUCUCUCACUACAGUGACCAACCCAAGUAACAUUUGGGCUCUUUCUGCCCCCAUCCUUAAUCCUUGUUUCAUCAUCUCCACACCCAGAACCCCCUUGGUGUGGAUCCUACAUUCCAUAGAUGUAAACCUAAGUUUUUAUCUUGGCUUAUGUAUUUCAACAGUUUUCAGUUCUUCAAUGAUUACUCACAAUUUCUGGCUCUUCAAGAUUUCUCCUCUUUGAUUACUAAUGUAUCUAUUUCUUUAUUUUUAAAACUUUUAUUUAUUUCUAAGAUGUGACAUGAAAUGGAAAGACUGCAGUGUACUCUUAGUUCACUGUCAUAAAAUCAGAUUUAUCCAGAAUCAUAAAGGAAUAUUUACUUCAACAAAACUAAAAUAUUUUUUCUUUUGUUUUGACAAAACAAACUGGCAAAACAUACUGUAUUUGGCUUUGACAAGAAAAUGAACAAGACACAUUCACCCAUUCCAUAUUAUAAUAAAAUCCAAUUCUAGUACAAUAUUCUUCUAACAACAAUAUGGCAAUGAUUUAUAUUUAACUUUAAAAUAAUUGUGUGUCUAUCUCACAUAACUUGUUCAUUGUCUUUUAAAGUGUGGCAAUAAACCAGGCAUCUCUGUUAUGUAUUAAGAAUAAGAUUUCAUUAUAAGUUUGAAUAAGGCAGUAAAUCAAAUUAAUCACCUUUAAGAUGUAAUUAAAAAUAUACCUCCAGGAAAUAAUAAUUAUUCUAAAUUUUUAAUAUUUAAAGGG
rnacentral:lncRNA from 1 species